GAGAUGUUGGGUUAAGUCCCGCAACGAGCGCAACCCCUGUCCCAUGUUGCCAGCGAUUCGGUCGGGGACUCAUGGGAGACUGCCGGUGACAAAUCGGAGGAAGGUGAGGAUGACGUCAAGUCCUCAUGGCCCUUAUAGGUGGGGCUACACACGUCAUACAAUGGCCGGUACAAAGGGCUGCCAACCCGCGAGGGGGAGCCAAUCCCAUAAAACCGGUCGUAGUCCGGAUCGCAGUCUGCAACUCGACUGCGUGAAGUCGGAAUCGCUAGUAAUCGUGGAUCAGAGUGUCACGGUGAAUACGUUCCCGGGUCUUGUACACACCGCCCGUCACACCAUGGGAGCGGGUUCUGCCAGAAGUAGUUAGCCUAACCGCAAGGAGGGCGAUUACCACGGCAGGGUUCGUGACUGGGGUGAAGUCGUAACAAGGUAA
rnacentral:rRNA from 1 species